UGGGGAAUUUUGGACAAUGGGCGAAAGCCUGAUCCAGCAAUGCCGCGUGUGUGAAGAAGGCCUUCGGGUUGUAAAGCACUUUUGUCCGGAAAGAAAUCCUUGGCUCUAAUACAGUCGGGGGAUGACGGUACCGGAAGAAUAAGCACCGGCUAACUACGUGCCAGCAGCCGCGGUAAUACGUAGGGUGCAAGCGUUAAUCGGAAUUACUGGGCGUAAAGCGUGCGCAGGCGGUUUGCUAAGACCGAUGUGAAAUCCCCGGGCUCAACCUGGGAACUGCAUUGGUGACUGGCAGGCUAGAGUAUGGCAGAGGGGGGUAGAAUUCCACGUGUAGCAGUGAAAUGCGUAGAGAUGUGGAGGAAUACCGAUGGCGAAGGCAGCCCCCUGGGCCAAUACUGACGCUCAUGCACGAAAGCGUGGGGAGCAAACAGGAUUAGAUACCCUGGUAGUCCACGCCCUAAACGAUGUCAACUAGUUGUUGGGGAUUCAUUUCCUAGUAACGUAGCUAACGCGUGAAGUUGACCGCCUGGGGAGUACGGUCGCAAGAUUAAAACUUAAAUGAAUUGACAGGGUCAU
rnacentral:rRNA from 1 species